CAGAGUUGACUUCCGUCACCUGUUCAAUGAAGAGUACCACUUUGAUGGGGAGAGGUUCGUGGAGGGGCGGAAACUCAUCACAGAUGGCUUGACCUCUGUCAAAGCCAGCGUCAAGCGAGGGAACUUUGAGGCAGCAAGACAGACGCUGGGAGACAUUUUACACACCUUACAGGACUUCUACAGUCACAGUAACUGGAUAGAACUGGGCAACAGAUUUCCCCAUCCCAAUCUCAUCAGAUCAGACGUGUCGGACAUCGGCCCAGUUGCAGAUAAGAACACGCCCACAUGUCGGAGCUGUGUCGGGAAAGACUGCAGAACAACA